UUGUACGGAAAAUAUUGGAGGUCAAAAAAACGUCAAUAAUAAUAAAGUAAUGCAGUCGGGAAGAAGCGCGGCGGAGUCGGUGAAGGAAUCGGCCGCCAACGUCGGCGCCGCUGCAAAAGCUGGCAUGGAAAACACCGAAGCCACCGCUCAAUAAAAGGUGGACAGAAUACAGGCGCAGAAUCCAGUGGAGGAGGACGUGGCUAGGGAAAGGAAAGAGCAGAGGAUUCACGACGCUGAGCUGGACAAGUAGCAGGCACGUGCAGAACACGCGGCCGGGAGGCAGGCUGCUACAAGGCUCGGGGGUUCAACCGCUAGAACCGGAACCGGAACCCACAUCUAUGACCCGACCGAGGGCGGCCCUAAUCACUGAGCCGGGUAGCGUGAAAGUCGGGUGACGGUUUUUGGUUUUUCUUUUCUGUUGUACGUUGUAUAAUUAAUAUUAGGUCGGUGUAUUAUUGUAUGAAAUAAAUAAUAAAUAAUAGAUAAUAGUUUUGACAAUAGCCACGCUAUUUAUAGGCAAUGUCUAGGGGUAGUUUUUUUU